rnacentral:rRNA from 1 species
GGAUUAGAUACCCUGGUAGUCCACGCCGUAAACGAUGUCAACUAGCCGUUGGGUUCAUUAUUUGAAGAAUUUGGUGGCGUAGCUAACGCGAUAAGUUGACCGCCUGGGGAGUACGGCCGCAAGGUUAAAACUCAAAGGAAUUGACGGGGGCCCGCACAAGCGGUGGAGCAUGUGGUUUAAUUCGAUGCAGCGCGAAGAACCUUACCAGCUCUUGACAUCUCCGGAACUUUCUAGAGAUAGAAAGGUGCCUUCGGGAACCGGAUGACAGGUGCUGCAUGGCUGUCGUCAGCUCGUGUCG